rnacentral:rRNA from 1 species
GGAUUAGAUACCCUGGUAGUCCACGCCGUAAACGUUGGGCGCUAGGUGUGGGACCCUAUCCACGGGUUCCGUGCCGCAGCUAACGCAUUAAGCGCCCCGCCUGGGGAGUACGGCCGCAAGGCUAAAACUCAAAGGAAUUGACGGGGGCCCGCACAAGCGGCGGAGCAUGCGGAUUAAUUCGAUGCAACGCGAAGAACCUUACCAAGGCUUGACAUAUACCGAAAACUCCUGGAGACAGGGGGUCCGCAAGGGCGGUAUACAGGUGGUGCAUGGUUGUCGUCAGCUCGUGCCG